CCGGGAGCCAAGGUUACCAACAGCCCCUCGGCGGAGGACGAGGAGCCAGAGGGGCUCCGGCCAGGGUCUCCUGGAUGGGAGCGGGGCUACCCGAGCGCUAACCCUGGCAAAGCUCAACAAGAAAGCACGGCUUCCUCCAAGGGAAGUGCAAAAGGGGACAAGUUGGAGCUCAGCGUGGGCCUUGUAGGGGCUCUGCCCCCCGUCACUCCUACCAGCCCAGCUGAAGCUCUGGCUGAGGGCGUUCUCACUCAGCUCCCCACCUCUCCUCCAUCCCUGCCCGAGGAGGUCGCGAUCCGGACAUGCGGCCCCGCCCCUCUGCGCUCUCCCAGCCCUCACACACUCCUCGCCACCUUGUCGGACCCGUUGCACCUGCGCCACCCGCCGGGCAUGAGGCGCAGCCAGUCCGUCGACCCGCAGCGGCAGGAGCGCCCCUCGUCUUCCUCCUCCUGCCACGCCUCCCUGCCGCUACCACCAAACCCCGCCCCCGGCACCCGCUCGCCCACUCGCAGGAAACUGCCGGCCAUCCCGGCGGGUGCCGCCAACGCCAAGUUCCCCUCCGUCAUACGCAUCACCCGUGCCCAGCUUCAGCAGUUGACAGCUCAGCGUCCCUCUGGGCUGUCCUUCCAGUCAGGAUCAGACAGUGCGCCACAGUGCCUCCUGCUGGAGAGGCGUAGUGAGGCUGAAGCUGAGGCUCAGCUGGUCCAGGAGCGCACAGCAGACAUCAGCUCCCCUCAGGACCAUGUCCUCACCCAUCCAGGGACACCCACAGACCCCCUGGCUGAGGUGCUGGUCAAUGGAGACAUCCACACCAAAGCUCAAAGCCCUGUUUCAAACCGCGUGUCUUCCCCACGCUCCCCACGCUCUCCUCGCUCGGUUCCCCUGCGCUCGCCUUCCUCUCCACGCUCGCCACACUCCCCUUGCUCUCCUCGCUCUCCUUGCUCCCCUCGCUCUCCUCGCAGCCCUGUGUUUGCCAAUGGCCACCUCUCCCCUCCUGGUAACAGCCAAAGGGAUUUAAGUAACGGAGCGUUCCCCAGGCUGAAAGACCCCGAGAAGGAUUCUGGCCCGACCCUCUGUGCCACAGAGCCUCUGCUAAGGGGGGAGGUUAGUAGAGAAGUGAACCAUGCCCCAGAUCAGACCAACGGACCAGUGUCCUCCUCCCCGGUUGCCCCCCGUAAGGACCCCAGCCGGAGGCACAGUCGCAUCCCAGUCCUGGAGCCCUCCAGCCUGCUGGAGCUCCCUCCUGCAGGGUCUGCUAAGGAGAAACUCCUGCAGAAGAAAGCUAACCACCCGGGCCCGGCC
rnacentral:lncRNA from 1 species